AUGGAAAAUGAGCUCCAGAACCUCCGGGACGACAACAACCAGCUCCGCCAUGAGCUCCUUGGCAAAGACCGGCAGCUUGCGGAGACACGGACACUUCUAGUUGACAGGGAGCAGCAGCUUUCGAACACCCAAACACUUCUAGUUGACAGGGAGCAGCAGCUUGCGGCCGGGACACUUCUUGUUGACAAGAGAGAGAGAGAGAGAUGGGCCAGACGACGACGGCGACGACGACUUGGCGACGGUCGGUCGUUGUUUCCGCGUUGCCGAGCAGAUCCAUCCCCUUCCCUUCUCCUCUCACUCCCACUUCCUGCUGCGCCUCGCCGUGCACGCGUCGCCGGCGUCGUCCGAGCUUCUCCCCGCCGGGAAAGCCGCCGAGGGUCGCCGCAGGCCGCCAUUGAGCGGCAGAUCCAUCCUGCUAGCGCUAGCUAG
rnacentral:rRNA from 1 species